rnacentral:tmRNA from 1 species
GAACUUGGAAUUCACCGCCCCUGCCCCUAUAUUGAGCGUGCCGGGGCUUGCUCCGGAUAUGGCGAUAAACGCGCUUGAAAUAAGCGGACCGGACCCGGGUGCGAUUCCCGGCGGCUCCACCAUCUUUUCCUCCGCGUUAUCGGCGGGACAGCAUGGGGCCGACUAGCAUCGACGGACGUGUAAAGAAGACUGCUUUCGCUCGUCCUGGCCCACCGUAUCGGGCCAUUUUCUAACUGCGAACGAUAACUUCGCUGGAGAAGUCCGCCUCGCCGCGUAAUGCGGUUCGGUUGAUUUCGAAUCUUAAGUCCUGAGGGUUCAGAUCCUCAGGCGGGGCCCGUCGGGGAGCCUGCCAACAGAAUCCCCGGCACU